AGUGUGAUGGCUCAGUCAGUAGAGCGACCGCCUCACAACCGGGAGGUCGUGGGUUCGAACCCCGGCCGCGUCA
rfam:Strongylocentrotus purpuratus Contig31788_fixed, whole genome shotgun sequence.